GGCGACGCUGACGUUCAAACUUCUUCUCCAUUUCUGAAACGGAGUGUGUUAUGGUUCCAUCGUGUUUAAUCAGACGCCCACGACGAGCUCUUAAUGCGUUGCUUGCAUCGUCAAGGAGGUGAGCUUUUGGGUUAAAACUUUGGGGUUUAAACAUAUUUUGACGUUAAGAAUGUGCAAGAGCUCAUCCCGACGCAUGGAAGAUGGAUAAGUUGUUGCAGUAAGCUCGCCAAACUUGAUUGAACAUAGGAAGCGACUAUAGAGUUUCAGAUAAUUAUUUAAAAGAGCUUUCACCUCAUUUUGAAGAAAGCAUUCAUACUGAUAAAUGAUGAGCUUGAGCAAGUUAGAGGCUUUUUAUCGAUGCAACUGUGCCACUUAAAGAAUAGUUAAAGAUAGUUGGGGCUGUCCUCGCAACAAGUUUUCCAUUUUUUGUUUUACCAUCAGACGAUGUGUUGUGAGAUCAGUAAGUUAAUCACACUUUUUUUUUGUUGCAGAUACCCGGAGCAAAUGGCAGUUACAGACAAUACUGAUGCUGCCCAUUUUUGCUGCACUGGAUGGGUCAAUAACAAAGCUAAUCAAUGUUUGUGCCUCUUAGGUUUGCCUUGGCAAGGGGAAUAAGAGCUGCUACAUUUUUAGCUGUGGAAACAGAGUAUCCAAGCACACUCGAAGCUUUGGGUAAUUGAUGAGUCAAGAAAAUUUCAAUGAUUAAUGGGAUUUAAUGUGAGUGGUUUACGAGUUUAAUAAUUAGAUGUUCAAGGUGAUGCAAAGUUUGAAUUAUUAUUCUUGAUUAAGUUUUGAAUUCACAAGAAGUGAUGUUUGUUAGCUACAGCUAGCAUGGAAAAUACAUGAGAAAUAUAGUUUUGAAUGAAAUAAUUGCUUCCUCUCAGUA